CCUACGGGGGGCAGCAGUGAGGAAUAUUGGUCAAUGGGCUUACGCCUGAACCAGCCAAGUCGCGUGAGGGAAGACUGCCCUAUGGGUUGUAAACCUCUUUUGUCAGGGAGCAACGCCGGCUACGUGUAGCCGGACUGAGAGUACCUGAAGAAAAAGCAUCGGCUAACUCCGUGCCAGCAGCCGCGGUAAUACGGAGGAUGCGAGCGUUAUCCGGAUUUAUUGGGUUUAAAGGGAGCGUAGACGGCAGUGCAAGUCCGGAGUGAAAGCCCGGGGCUCAACCCUGGGACUGCUCUGGAAACUGUAAAGCUGGAGUGCGGGAGGGGCAGGCGGAAUUCCUGGUGUAGCGGUGAAAUGCGUAGAUAUCAGGAGGAACACCGGCGGCGAAGGCGGCCUGCUGGACCGUAACUGACGUUGAGGCUCGAAAGCGUGGGGAGCAAACAGGAUUAGAUACCCCAGUAGUC
rnacentral:rRNA from 1 species